UACGUAGGGGGCUAGCGUUGUCCGGAAUCAUUGGGCGUAAAGCGCGUGUAGGCGGUCCGGUAAGUCCGCUGUGAAAGUCGGGGGCUCAACCCUCGGAUGCCGGUGGAUACUGUCGGGCUUGAGUACGGAAGAGGCGAGUGGAAUUCCUGGUGUAGCGGUGAAAUGCGCAGAUAUCAGGAGGAACACCAAUUGCGAAGGCAGCUCGCUGGGACGUUACUGACGCUGAGGAGCGAGACGUGGGGAGCAACAGGAUUAGAACUACCGAGUCAG
rnacentral:rRNA from 1 species